CAAAAUCCUCAAGGCACAGCACCCAGGGUGAUGACUGACCGUGAGCUUCUCCUCAGUCUUCACCAGAAGGUUGAUCGCAAUCAUAAAUGGGUCAAGCGUCAGUUUGGUUCAAUUCUUCACAACAUGACUGCUACCCACAAUGCAGUGAAGAAAAACCACUACUACCUUCAUGAAACCCUCAACCGCACCUGGGCUGUUCUGUCGCACAUAUAUGGUGAAGAAGAUUUGAAGAAAAUGGGUCUCAAGGAAGAUCUUAACUGGGCUGCACCUCCUCCGAAGAAGUACAAGAAGGUCAAGGUUCUUGGUGGCCAUCUCCUAUUCUUCAUCACGUGA
rnacentral:rRNA from 1 species